CAGCUUUUACGGAUGAUGGGCAGCGGAUGGGCUUCGGUGUUAAAGACCCAGUCUUCCAGGGAGAGGAGGUCAUCGUCAGAGAAAAGCAGGAAGAAGCUCUGCUGCAUGUUGUCGUGGCUGGCUGUCAGGGCGUAAACAUCACGGAUCCCAGAGAAGCCAGACUCCACUCUGCAGUGCUGCUCCAGAGCCUAACAAAAGGCAGGAAGGAACAGGUUUCUGUGGCUCUGGUGACCUUUUUUUGACGGUUGUGCAGAUAAUGGAGGGAGCAGAGAGUGAAGGAAAUGGCCCAGGUGAGGACAGCCAUAGACUGUGUAUAUGUGAUGCAUACCAUCUUAAAUUUUAACAAUGAUAAGGGAAAUACACAUUCCAUAGAUUUAAUUUACACAGACGUUUAUUAAUGUAUGUAUUUACAUUAAUCUUGAUUAAUGUACACCUUUAGAUAGAACCAAUAAAAAGCAUUUUUAAUAUAGAAAUAUCAGCCUUUAUCAUGAAUGUCUAUGUAAUGUUUACUGAAUAUUUGGCUGGGACUUCUUCUGCAUGAAUACCUGGAUUUUUGAGACGGAGCACGGAGGCUCUGCUGACGCGUUAAGGAACCCCAGUUUGCUUUAAGCGGUUUUCAUCACAUUUGCAUUGCUGUGUCUAGUGUCUUCCUCUUGACAAUACCUCAUAUUUUCAUUAUGGUAAGCCAUAAUCACCUAAUUUAACAAGUGCUGGAAAUAUACAGUAUCACCUUGUGUUAUGAAUGUGUAAAACUGCUAGACAAGUUUGAUAUGCAUAGAGAUGGAAAUGUAUAUCACUGUUAUCCUUCACCUCAUGUCCUUAGUGAUCAUAUUAAGAUUUUUUUUUCACCUUAAAAGUGUAUUAAAGAAGUUUCAUUGUGUUGCUUAGGUUAGAUUAAUCAUUAAAAAAAAAAACUGAGAACAUCAUCAGUGUCUCACAAUUUGCUAUUAACCUUAAUUUAUGUAAAGCAAUUUUGUAUGUUUUGAAAUCUUAUCAGAAUCGAGCACAUGUCAAAAGAAGCUCAUUAUUGCAUUACGCAAAGUAAGAUGAAGUGGCUGUGUUUGUCAUUUAGUUGAUCAUAAUAACUGCUACUUGAUGCCAACAUUUCCUCUGAAAAGGUCAAGGCUGAAUCAAUCAGUGCUGACACAUUUUGUGAUGCAUUUAAAAGCUUUAAUAUAAACCAUCAUUAAUAUUUCCAACCAAGAAUGAGAAGUUGGGUUUUAUGUUCAUUUUCGCACUAGGUCCUCUUACCAAUAAAGCGCUCUAUGUUUAUUGA